rnacentral:rRNA from 1 species
CCUACGGGAGGCAGCAGUGGGGAAUAUUGGACAAUGGGGGGAACCCUGAUCCAGCCAUGCCGCGUGUGUGAAGAAGGCCCUCGGGUUGUAAAGCACUUUCAGUGAGGAAGAACGCCUGGUGGUUAAUACCCAUCAGGAAAGACAUCACUCACAGAAGAAGCACCGGCUAACUCCGUGCCAGCAGCCGCGGUAAUACGGAGGGUGCGAGCGUUAAUCGGAAUUACUGGGCGUAAAGCGCGCGUAGGUGGCUUGAUAAGCCGGUUGUGAAAGCCCCGGGCUCAACCUUGGAACGGCAUCCGGAACUGUCAAGCUAGAGUGCAGGAGAGGAAGGUAGAAUUCCCGGUGUAGCGGUGAAAUGCGUAGAGAUCGGGAGGAAUACCAGUGGCGAAGGCGGCCUUCUGGACUGACACUGACACUGAGGUGCGAAAGCGUGGGUAGCAAACAGGAUUAGAUACCCUGGUAGUC